rnacentral:lncRNA from 1 species
UUUAGGGCAACAGAAGAAAUUGGAAAAGACAUUUGGAAAUACAAAGAGAUUUUCGAGGAUCCUGAAAUCAGGGCACAGGUGCAGCUGCCAGCCCUGCCUCCUGUUCAUGCUGGCUCUUGAGUGUCCCUGAUGGAAGAUGUUUAAGGCCAGUGCUAUGAAGAAAUUAAUAAGUUCAAAUACAGUAUCUGAGGGGGAUUGGUUCCAGAACCUCCUGCAGAUACCCAAAUCCAGGUGGAUCAUCAGAAACUUCCCUAAGAGAUUUACUCCUAACUCAAACUGUAGAAUCUAGA